GCCGGGCGCGGUGGCGCGGGCCUGUAAUCCCAGCUACUCAGAAGGCUGGGCCCGGAGGAUCGCUUGAGUCCAGGAGUUCUGGGCUGCAGUGCGCUAUGCCGAUCGGGUGUCCGCACUAAGUUCGGCAUCAAUAUGGUGACCUCCCGGGAGUGGGGAAACACCAGGUUGCCUAAGGAGGGGUGAACCGGCCCAGGUCGGAAACGGAGCAGGUCAAAAACUCACUAGAAGGUGCCUUUUCACUUUGAAUGAGCUAUAAUUCCUAUGUGUUUUGUGUAUUUCCU
ensembl:misc_RNA Metazoa_SRP Metazoan signal recognition particle RNA